rnacentral:rRNA from 1 species
CGUGUAGGCGGUCCGGUAAGUCAGCUGUGAAAGUCAAGGGCUCAACCCUUGAAUGCCGGUUGAUACUGUCGGGCUAGAGUCCGGAAGAGGCGAGUGGAAUUCCCGGUGUAGCGGUGAAAUGCGCAGAUAUCGGGAGGAACACCAAUGGCGAAGGCAGCUCGCUGGGACGGUACUGACGCUGAGACGCGAAAGCGUGGGGAGCAAACAGGAUUAGAUACCCUGGUAGUCCACGCCGUAAACGAUGGGCACUAGGUGUUGGGGGUGUCGACUCCCCCGGCGCCGUAGCUAACGCAUUAAGUGCCCCGCCUGGGGAGUACGGCCGCAAGGCUAAA